CCUACGGGAGGCAGCAGUAGGGAAUCUUUCACAAUGGGCGAAAGCCUGAUGGAGCAACGCCGCGUGCAGGAUGAAGGCCUUCGGGUUGUAAACUGCUUUUAUAAGCGAGAAAUAUGAUGGUAACUUAUGAAUAAGGAUCGGCUAACUACGUGCCAGCAGCCGCGGUCAUACGUAGGAUCCGAGCAUUAUACGGAGUGACUGGGUGUAAAGAGUUGCGUAUGUGGCAUAAUAAGUAGCUAGUGAAAUCUGGUGGCUCAACCAUUCAGACUAUUAGCUAAACUGUUAAGCUCGAGACCGUUAGGGGUAACUGGAAUUUCUAGUGUAGGAGUGAAAUGCGUAGAUAUUAGAAGGAACACCAAUAGCGUAGGCAGGUUACUGGGACGGUUCUGACACUAAGGCACGAAAGCGUAGGGAGCAAACGGGAUUAGAUACCCCAGUAGUC
rnacentral:rRNA from 1 species